rnacentral:rRNA from 1 species
AGCAGCAGCCACGGGAAUACGUAGGUAGCGAGCGUUGUCCGGAUUUAUUGGGCGUAAAGGGAGUGUAGGCGGUCUUUUAAGUCUGAUGUGAAAGCCCACGGCUCAACCGUGGAGGGUCAUUGGAAACUGGGAGACUUGAGUGCAGAAGAGGAGAGCGGAAUUCCAUGUGUAGCGGUGAAAUGCGUAGAUAUAUGGAGGAACACCAGUGGCGAAGGCGGCUCUCUGGUCUGUAACUGACGCUGAGGCUCGAAAGCGUGGGGAGCAAACAGGAUUAGAUACCCGUGUAGUCCCUGUCUCUUAUAC